rnacentral:misc_RNA from 1 species
CUAAACGCUGGGGGAAUUCGGACUGAUCCGAGGCAACAUUCAGAAAUUGGGGUUUAACGGCGUGGCCGCGACGAUUACCAGUAACGAGGGUUUUACUACUACGCUAUGGAAGCUCGACGUGCCCGCCAAUCAAUUUGGGGAACGCGAUUUGACUCGCGAGUCCCAACACCAAGCUGGGCUUGAGGUGAAAGACGC